rnacentral:rRNA from 1 species
AGCGAACGCUGGCGGCAGGCCUAACACAUGCAAGUCGAACGAACCCUUCGGGGUUAGUGGCGGACGGGUGAGUAACACGUGGGAACGUGCCUUUAGGUUCGGAAUAACUCAGGGAAACUUGUGCUAAUUCCGAGUGUGCCCUUCGGGGGAAAGAUUUAUCGCCUUUAGAGCGGCCCGCGUCUGAUUAGCUAGUUGGUGAGGUAAUGGCUCACCAAGGCUACGAUCAGUAGCUGGUCUGAGAGGAUGACCAGCCACAUUGGGACUGAGACACGGCCCAAACUCCUACGGGAGGCAGCAGUGGGGAAUCUUGCGCAAUGGGCGAAAGCCUGACGCAGCCAUGCCGCGUGGAUGAUGAAGGUCUUAGGUUUGUAAAAUCCUUUCACCGGUGAAGAUAAUGACUGUAGCCGGAGAAGAAGCCCCGGCUAACUUCGUGCCAGCCGCCGCCGUAACAC